GCAGGCUCCCCGGUCUGUGGUCACAGCUGCCCCCAAGGAGCCCCGCCCCUCCCGCCAAGCCCUUCAAAAGCUUCCGUGGGCUCACUGGGUCCAGGAAAAGCCUGCGAGGAAGGCCCACAAGCAGCUGGUCUUUCUCUGGGCCUGGGCCACAUCGGUAACAAUGCCCCUCGGCCACUGGGAAAUUUUCUCAUGGGGUUUUGAUUGAACAACACAGAUGUUGUUUUUCCUGCAGCAAAGCCUGGCAGAGUUAGUAACCUCCAAGCUAACUCGGCAAGAUAGUCCUGACAAUACCUAGCCCAUGGGAUACUAAGAGCACAAACGACAGAAUGAGUGAGAGGCGGCACAGAAUCAGCUAAUUCCCUCGUUUCUAGCCCCCUAGCCAGUCCUUGAUUUUGAUCUCAGAGCCUCUUCAAUUGUGCUAUUUCACUCAGCUGUGAAAACUCAGAGAACCCGAGAAUGAUGCAGGUGAUGGGGAAGGACCCUAACACCCAGAGUGGUGAGGUGCUGUCCUGUACCACACUGGCAGAGGGACCGAUGGGACCAAGAAGGUUGCUGAGAUGACCUCUGGAGACUUUGCUGGUCCAGCCAGACAUGGACUGAGACAGUAAUUCUCUGCGAGUUCCCGGUAGGAAAGAGCUUUUUGACAGAUGUUCAUGGCAUCAGCAGCAGAAACAUGGAGUUCGUGGGUUCUAAGGCUCCUUGCAAACAGUCUGCUUCAUUUCUCCCAAAAGGUUUUUUGUGAAA